rfam:Myotis brandtii contig301235, whole genome shotgun sequence.
GAGACACCCUUCUGGGGCAAGACUUGCUUCAGUGGGGCUUUGGUGCUCACUGAGUCUGAUCCCUGAGUGUGUCCCU